AUUGAACGCUGGCGGCAGGCCUAACACAUGCAAGUCGAGCGGAAGAAGGGUGCUUGCUCGUGGUUUCAGCGGCGGACGGGUGAGUGAUGCCUAGGAAUCUCCCUGGCUGUGGUUGCUUACGUCCUCAAGCGGGGCCUCUUACUCCAAUAUACCAGAGGCAGAACGGGGGGGAGCGUGGGACCUUCGCGGCUUACGGGGAUCUAUGUGGGAUUGGUCAGUUGGUGGGUUGAAGGCCUACCGGGGCGACCAUCCGUAACUGGACUGAGAGGAUGAUCGGCCACACUGGAACUGAGACGCGGUCCAGACUCCUACGGGAGGCAGCAGUGGGGAAUAUUGGACAAUGGGCGAAAGCCUGAUCCAGCCAUGCCGCGUGUGUGAAGAAGGUCUUCGGGUUGUAAAGCACGUUUAGUUGGGAGGAAAGGCAGUAAGUUAAUACCUUGCUGUUUUGACGGUACCAAAAGAAUAAGCACCGGCUAACUUCGUG
rnacentral:rRNA from 1 species